UGACUAGGACCUGGCCUAUGCCCCCUGAGGC
rnacentral:sRNA from 1 species